AGUGAACGCUGGCGGUAGGCCUAACACAUGCAAGUCGAACGGCAGCACAGUAAGAGCUUGCUCUUACGGGUGGCGAGUGGCGGACGGGUGAGGAAUACAUCGGAAUCUACUUUUUCGUGGGGGAUAACGUAGGGAAACUUACGCUAAUACCGCAUACGACCUACGGGUGAAAGCAGGGGAUCUUCGGACCUUGCGCGAUUGAAUGAGCCGAUGUCGGAUUAGCUAGUUGGCGGGGUAAAGGCCCACCAAGGCGACGAUCCGUAGCUGGUCUGAGAGGAUGAUCAGCCACACGGGAACUGAGACACGGUCCAGACUCCUACGGGAGGCAGCAGUGGGGAAUAUUGGACAAAGGGCGCAAGCCUGAUCCAGCCAUACCGCGUGGGUGAAGAAGGCCUUCGGGUUGUAAAGCCCUUUUGUUGGGAAAGAAAAGCAGCAGGUUAAUACCCCGCUGUUCUGACGGUACCCAAAGAAUAAGCACCGGCUAACUUCGUG
rnacentral:rRNA from 1 species